GAACCUGCGAAAGGAUCAUUGCCGAGACCCA
rnacentral:rRNA from 1 species